GAUAAUUAAUUAUGUCAUUUUGUUUUGUUACAACAAUAAUUAUAUAAAUUUAAAAUAAUUUAUUACAAAUACAAAAAAGAAAAAUCAUACAUAAUAAAAAAUUAAUUACUACAUCCAACUUUCUUAAUUCUCGUAAUUUUUUUUCACUCGUCUAAUAUUUAAGAACGGGGAUUCUACUAUUUAUCGAGAGUAAAAACUUUUAUAUACAUCUCAAACAUUGAUUUGGCCUGAUUUUAAGCUGUAAAAUUCUUCUUUAGCAGUUCAAUUAUGCUUCAAGAUUUGGGCACUAUUACAGUCCUCCUUUUCUGCAAAAGGAAUAAGAUUGAGUUGCACAACGGAAUCAUCUUCGGGGCCAUCUCUUGUUUCAAUGUUCAUGCAACAACACAAUUCUAAGGAAGCAAAAAAGGUAGCUGCGACACUUUGACAUAGCCACGCUGCCACACCAACACAAUCAUGCUUUUUGCAUGUGCGUAUUCUUCUACCUUUGGAAAAGCAUGUCUUGGUGCAGCUCAUCGUAGACCAGGAAUUUUAGCGAGGUUGAUUGAUUGAAAAUGAGGUAAUAAUUAUCUGAUUAAUUUUCAGUUGUACUAGUAAGUAGUGAUUAAUAAGCUUCCUAAGACGCUAACCCACAAGUUUGGUAGGAAAGAG
rnacentral:lncRNA from 1 species